rnacentral:rRNA from 1 species
CCUACGGGAGGCAGCAGUGAGGAAUAUUGCACAAUGGGCGAAAGCCUGAUGCAGCAACGCCGCGUGAGCGAUGAAGGCCUUCGGGUCGUAAAGCUCUGUCCUCAAGGAAGAUAAUGACGGUACUUGAGGAGGAAGCCCCGGCUAACUACGUGACAGCAGCCGCGGUAAUACGGAGGGGGCUAGCGUUAUCCGGAAUUACUGGGGGGAAAGGGUGCGUAGGUGGUUUCUUAAGUCAGAGGUGAAAGGCGAGGGCUCAACCGUAGGAAGCCUUUGAAACUGGGGAACUUGAGUGCAGGAGAGGAGUGUGGAAUUCCUGGUGUAGCGGUGAAAUGCGUAGAUAUUAGGAGGAACACCAGUUGCGAAGGCGGCUCUCUGGACUGUAACUGACGCUGAGGCACGAAAGCGUGGGGAGCAAACAGGAUUAGAUACCCUUGUAGUC